UUUUUUAGAAAAAAUUUAAUUCCCUAAAAAAACAAAACAAAAUUAAUAGGCUUCCCGCUAGUUUGUACUUAUCUAAAACCGCACUAAGUAACUAUUCAGUUCUCGUUAAUCCUUCACUUAGCAGUUAUUUCUUAGGGUUACAUCGCCCCAAACAUAAACACAAUAACUUAGUAAGCAGCUUCAUUGUCCUUCUCACCGGCGUCGAGAGAAGCAGUUAGGAGGAGGCCGGCGAUUGUUGGAGAAGCGGUGGUAAUUGCCAUGCGGUGGAACAGAUGGCUGCUUCAUCGAUGAAAACGAAAGUUGCAGCUUUAUUCAGAUGUUGUUGUUGUUGUGGCUGCUGCUGCGAUUGCUGGCAUUUAAGCAACUGAGAAAUUCGAAGAUUAGCUGAUAUUAUGGUUCAAUUGGGCAAAGAUGUCACGUAUGAAGGAGUAUCUUCCGAUUCUCGGAUUGGUGGGCUUCUAUAAGUUGUCUGCUAAACUCACUCUUGGUGCUGACAGGUUGGUUGGGAUGAGUCAUCUGCUUGAGAAAGGUGGCAUAGGGUUUCUGUUUGGGAGAUUGAACCUGUAACACCUCCAUUUUUCAUAUGCCCUCCACCAUUCCUCAGACCAAAGCAUCGAAGGAUACCAGGAAUGCCAGAUUCUUAAAGAAGAAGUGCGAGAUUUACUGGAUUCUUCGCUAUCGACGAAAUCAGAAACUGCUCAGUAAAUGUACCUGGAAAACCACCAAUCCAGAUACGUGAAUCGUCUAAUGGUGUUAUUACUCUAGCGGGAUCUACUGAAGUAGAGGUCAGAUCUUUGAAAGAGAUGGCAUCGUGUCUUGAACAAGGAUCUCUUUGUCGCGCUACUGGGAGUACGAACAUGAACAACCAAUCCAGUUACGUCAAGGGCCUAAGUUACAGAAAGACUGACUAUGCAAUUCUCUCGAUAGAUUGUUAUUUUUGACCUGUUGUCAGCAAGGCCGUCUUGAAAACUUUCACAGCUCAAGACAAAUCAUAGCUGAACAGAAAAGGGCCAAUAAGACAUGUUGUUGUUACAGUCCACUUUGUGUGAAUAUUUUCAAAUGUUAGAUAUACUUUGUGGUACCAGUAUUGAGGUUGUUCUUAUUCAACCUUUUCUUAAAGUGGUUAUGAUUUAGUCUUCGUCUGUGAUAGAUGAUGACCCUGAUGCUGACAAUCCAUUCAAGAGGACAAUACCAUGGCUUGGAUAUGAUCCAAAUGCUUUGACAGGCUUGAACUUAAUGCAGUGGAUGAACAUGCCACAAAAUUCAUCUUUGGCUAAUUCGAUGCAGGCAAAUUUUAUGAACAUGCCACUUAUGUCUUGAGUAAUCUACUCUUUCUUAUUUCUACCAGUUUCUAUUUCAUGCAUUUGGGAUGUUGCAUCUUCUUAAGCUAAGGGAUCUUCCAAGGUUGAUAACCCAUCGAUUAAUUUGCAGCUCAUUAACUUAUUUAUUAGUUGAUAUCGGCUUUAUGACCUAGUUAGUUAGCCUUUCCUAAUUUUUUCUUAUGUAAAAUCAUCCUUCUAUUGCAGCAAGUAGCAGCUUCACAGGUGCUGCUGCAGGCGGGCAAUCGACUUUGACUGAUGAUAUUCCAUCAUGUUCUACUUGACCUUCGACAAACAAUGAUCCUAAUGGCCCUCAAACAAUCAUGAACAGCAGGGGUCAUCGAAGCUUUGCCUUGGGAGAGGGUAUAAAUCAACCUUCUGCUAAUCUUAUGAGUUGUAAUGGUUUGGAAGCUAUGGAUGCUUAAAACUCAUUCAAAGAAUUGCAUCAGAAAGCUGACAUCAGAAAGCUAUGGAAGCUUUGCCUUGGGAGAGGAUAUUAUGUGUGUCGCUACAUGCUUGAGACGGUACAGUUGAGACGACUAGUCAUUCCAGAUAAGUACUAUCAAGGCUUUCGUCCAACCUAUUCUCAAGAGAAAAUUGAUGAACUCGAUGAGUUGUGGAUAACAUAUGUCAGAGAUCAACACGAAGCACAAAUGAUGAAUUAGUUCUAAUUUUCCACCUAAUUUUUUUUUUAUCUUAAUCCACUUUUGGACAUACAUUAUAAUUUUGGAUUUGGAUAUUGAUAUCAUGUGGAUGUGGCGUGUUUGAUCUUUGUUUAUGAUUUAGAUUAAUAUUGAUAUGUAUAUAUAGUAGUUUUUUUAGAAGUUUAGAAUUAUGAAUAUUAGUUGAAUUAUUUUUGUGAUAUAAAGAAUUUUGGAAGUUUAGAAUAUCAUAUUCAAUUUUUUGAUUGUAA